rnacentral:snoRNA from 1 species
AAGUUCGAAGAUGAGGAGCUGAUCUCCUACAUCUUGACUGGGCUGGACAAGGAGUUUGAUUGUGUGGUGAUUGCGGUGGCGACGUGAGUUGAGUCGAUCAUCGUGAACGAGCUUUACACGUAGCUUGUUUCAUUCGAGC